CUCUAUGAUGAAAACCUCGAAUAGGAAGUGCCGUCUUAUGCGACAUCUGACGACUUUUUUACUACUGUUCUGAGA
ensembl:snoRNA